AGCUAAUACUUGCUUUAGCACUCUUGAUUAGGUUCUUGAGUGUGUACUUGUUAAGCCUUUUAAGAAAAAAGUUAUUAACUUAAGGAAUUAUAACAAAGAAGUAACACGUAAUGGAUCCGUCCAUUUUUAGUGUGUAUCAAUCGAGUUUCUGACCUAUCAGCUUUUGAUGUUAGGGUAUUGGCCUAACAUGGCUAUGACGGGUAACGGGGAAUUAGAGUUCGAUUCCGGAGAGGGAGCCUGAGAAAUAGCUACCACAUCUAAGGAAGGCAGCAGGCGCGUAAAUUACCCAAUUCUAAAGAAGAGAGGUAGUGACAAGAAAUAACAAUACAAGGCCAAUCUGGCUUUGUAAUUGGAAUGAUGGGAAUUUAAAACCUUCCCAAAACUCAAUUGGAGGGCAAGUCUGGUGCCAGCAGCCGCGGUAAUUCCAGCUCCAAUAGCGUAUAUUAAAAUUGUUGCAGUUAAAACGCUCGUAGUUGAAUUUCAAAGAAUCGAUAUUUUAAGUAACGCUUUUAGCUUAAUCCACAUAACUGAUACUACGUAUCGACUUUGUGCGCAUUUUGCUAUUAUGUGUUCUUUUAAUUAAAAUGAUUCUUUUUAAGGUCUUUCUUUUGCUCCGGCAUUUGAAGAUCUUGUUACUUUGAGUAAAUUAGAGUGUUCAAAGCAAACAGAUAUAGCAUUGCGCGUUUGAAUACUACAGCAUGGAAUAACAAAAUUGAACAAGUCAGAAUUUUGUUCUUUUUUCUUAUUUUGGCUUAGUUACGAUUAAUAGGAGUAGCUUGGGGGCAUUUGUAUUCAGAUGUCAGAGGUGAAAUUCUUAGAUUUUCUGGAGACAAACAACUGCGAAAGCAUUUGCCUAAAAUACUUCCAUUAAUCAAGAACGAAAGUUAAGGGAGUGAAGACGAUCAGAUACCGUCGUAAUCUUAACCAUAAACUAUGCCGACUAGGCUUUGGAUGAAAGAUUUUAAAAUAAGA
rnacentral:rRNA from 1 species